rnacentral:rRNA from 1 species
GAUGAACGCUAGCGGGAGGCCUAACACAUGCAAGUCGAGGGGCAGCACGUCUUCGGAUGGUGGCGACCGGCGCACGGGUGCGUAACGCGUAUGUAACUUGCCCAUAACUGGAGAAUAGCCCAAAGAAAUUUGGAUUAAUCCUCCAUAGUAUUAUGAAACCGCAUGGUUUUAUAAUUAAAGCUCCGGCGGUUAUGGAUAGACAUGCGUCCCAUUAGCUAGUUGGUGAGGUAACGGCUCACCAAGGCUACGAUGGGUAGGGGUUCUGAGAGGAAGGUCCCCCACACUGGUACUGAGACACGGACCAGACUCCUACGGGAGGCAGCAGUGAGGAAUAUUGGUCAAUGGGCGAGAGCCUGAACCAGCCAAGUCGCGUGAAGGAAGAAGGUUCUAUGGAUUGUAAACUUCUUUUGCAGGGGAAUAAAGGACGGUACGUGUACUGUUUUGUAUGUACCUUGCGAAUAGGAUCGGCUAACUCCGUG